UAAGAGGGGGAGUAACGAUCCGGAAACGGGUAGCGUAAUACCGCAUAGUUUUCUUUGUAUCGCAUGAUUGGGAAGGAAAGACGGCCUUUGUGCUGUCGCUUAUGGAUGGACCCGCGGCGUAUUAGUUAGUUGGUGAGGUAACGGCUCACCAAGACGAUGAUACGUAGCCGACCUGAGAGGGUGAUCGGCCACAUUGGGACUGAGACACGGCCCAAACUCCUACGGGAGGCAGCAGUAGGGAAUCUUCCGCAAUGGACGAAAGUCUGACGGAGCAACGCCGCGUGAGUGAAGAAAAGGUUUUCGGAUCGUAAAACUCUGUUGUCAGAGAAGAACAAGUUGGAGAGUAACUGCUCCAGCCUUGACGGUAUCUGACCAGAAAGCCACGGCUAACUACGUGCCAGCAGCCGC
rnacentral:rRNA from 1 species